rnacentral:rRNA from 1 species
CCUACGGGAGGCUGCAGUGGGGAAUAUUGGACAAUGGGGGCAACCCUGAUCCAGCCAUGCCGCGUGUGUGAAGAAGGCCCUCGGGUUGUAAAGCACUUUCAGUGAGGAAGAACGCCUGGUGGUUAAUACCCAUCAGGAAAGACAUCACUCACAGAAGAAGCACCGGCUAACUCCGUGCCAGCAGCCGCGGUAAUACGGAGGGUGCGAGCGUUAAUCGGAAUUACUGGGCGUAAAGCGCGCGUAGGUGGCUUGAUAAGCCGGUUGUGAAAGCCCCGGGCUCAACCUGGGAACGGCAUCCGGAACUGUCAAGCUAGAGUGCAGGAGAGGAAGGUAGAAUUCCCGGUGUAGCGGUGAAAUGCGUAGAGACCGGGAGGAAUACCAGUGGCGAAGGCGGCCUUCUGGACUGACACUGACACUGAGGUGCGAAAGCGUGGGUAGCAAACAGGAUUAGAUACCCUGGUAGUC